rnacentral:rRNA from 1 species
GAUGAACGCUGGCGGCGUGCCUAAUACAUGCAAGUCGAGCGAACAGACGAGGAGCUUGCUCCUCUGACGUUAGCGGCGGACGGGUGAGUAACACGUGGAUAACCUACCUAUAAGACUGGGAUAACUUCGGGAAACCGGAGCUAAUACCGGAUAAUAUAUUGAACCGCAUGGUUCAAUAGUGAAAGACGGUUUUGCUGUCACUUAUAGAUGGAUCCGCGCCGCAUUAGCUAGUUGGUAAGGUAACGGCUUACCAAGGCAACGAUACGUAGCCGACCUGAGAGGGUGAUCGGCCACACUGGAACUGGGACACGGUCCAGACUCCUACGGGAGGCAGCAGUAGGGAAUCUUCCGCAAAGGGCGAAAGCCUGACGGAGCAACGCCGCGUGAGUGAUGAAGGUCUUCGGAUCGUAAAACUCUGUUAUUAGGGAAGAACAAAUGUGUAAGUAACUAUGCACGUCUUGACGGUACCUAAUCAGAAAGCCACGGCUAACUACGUG